GUCUGUAUGUCAAAUGUGUUGCUGAUUGGUCAAUAAAUAAAUCACUGAUUGGCCAUUGGCUAGGCAGGAAGUAUAGGCGGGACAAGGAGGAGAAUAGAGCUGGGAAGUGGAAGGCUGAGAGAGGGACACUGCGAGCCGCCAUCAGGACAAGGAAGAUGUAAAGUACCGGCAGUAGCUCAAGAGGCAAACUCAGGCUGGCAAUUAGCUGUCAGCUGAUCACCAAUUCAAAUGUCCUGGAGUGGGCCGGGCUGAUGAUCUGCACUUGCAGUAAUCAUUUGGCUGGGUGAAUCAAAUUAUACUUUCCAAUGCCACUUCAAAUCAGGAUUGCUCUGUCUGCAUUCAUUUUUGGCAAUUUGGUUUUGACAGAAAAUGAACUUGAUUUCUUUGUGCCAUCUAGCUUUCAAAUUACCCUGCCCACAUCUGUCAGAUGCCUUCAUGGUUCAAUUAUAAAAAACUGUAUCCAGGCUGGAUCAUGAGUCUGCUGUUUGCCACAACCACAGACGCCCUUGGGUUGAACAUCAGGCUCCCUGCAAUCUUCCCAAAGAAGGAAAUAUACUUCCAGCUGUUACACCAGACUCAUCCUUCGUGGAGAGAGGGGGAGCACAGCAAGUGAGCCCUUUGUAGAGUGCGUAAAAUAUGCAGAUGGGGAGACAGGAGGCAGCAGGAAGAGUGGAAAUAGAUUUACCAAAAUCAUGUACACUCCUGUAGAAACAGCCAGGGUGGAUUGACUGUGUGGAGUAUGUACUUUGCCCAGAGAUAACGAAUAUUUUUGUCCUGAAUUACCCUAUGUAUCAGUGCCAUGCAUGUUUCUCAACAAUGCUCAUUUUCUAAUUCAUAUUCUGCCAUCAGUGUCUUUGAAUUACACAGGGAACAUAUCUUUUUUUCUCCAGUCUAGUUUGUCUUUCUUAGGUGCUGUCCAGGGAAAUUUCAAUACCAUGUUGUUUUGUCAACAUUUUAGGUAUUUUAGAAAGACAAAGGAUCUCAUUAGAUGAGUGAUUUUCUAGCCAAAUGAGAACCAACCCAGGUACCAGUUGUUCCAAUUUCCUCUGGGAUUUCUUGCCUGCCACCUAAGUUUAGAGCUUAGAGGCCAGCAAGAUUCUGACUUUGCAGAACCCAACACUACAAUGACCUCCUAAUUGGUUUUCCUGUUUGGAUUCUUCUUCUCACACCUGUUCAUUUCCACACAGCAAUGUUAGUAAGAAGUAUGAAGUGCUCCUUGUCAAUGGCUUCCUUCCAGCCCUCCAGUGAUGACACUGCCCUAAGAGGGUUCCUGACUGCCAUGGAAUUCCGCCUUAGCUCAUCUUGGUUCCCACCUGAUCUGUCAUUCCACUCCAAUCCCCUGACAGCCUUGUUCCUCAUGGGAUGCUCUUUUCCCAGCUUCUUCCUUCUUGGCUUCUGGUAUCACGGUUCUUGGUCAACGUCAUCUACAAGUAAACCCAUCUUACUUAGUACCCCUUCCCCAUUACUUUUCUUCCCUUUGUUUUUGAGAUUGUAAUAUAAUUACAUCAUUUCUCCCUUCCCUUUCCUCCCUUUGAUCCCUCCCAUAUACCCCUCCUUGUUCUCUUUCAAAUUCAUGGCCUCCUUUCUUAUUGAUGGUUGUUACAUGCAUAUAUGUAUAUGCAUAUAUAUUCCUAAAUAUAAACUGCUCAGUCUGUAUGUUACUUGUAUGUUUUCAGGGCUGACCAUUUGGCAUUGGAUAACCAAUAAGCAUGCUGUUCCCACUGGAAGACUAUUUUUCCUAUUCUAAUAUCCCUUAGUUGCCUGUAGUUCUUUUAUAUAGCAAUGAGGCCCCAUGGGCUUCCCCUGUCCACUUUGGAGUGUCUGUUGGUGUCAUCCUUGUUUAGGUCAUACUUCGGCAGUCAUAUUGGUGAGACUUCACAGGUGUAGCUUCUGACAUUACUAGGCAGAAGAGCCUUGCAGCAAACUCCCUGAUCCUCUGGGUCUCACAAUCUUCUCCCCGACUCCUCCAUAACGUUCCAUAAGCUUUAGAUGCAGGAGUAGAUGUAGCCACUGGGACUGGGAUCCACAACUCUGUAUUUUGAUUGGUUGUGGUUUUCUGUAACAGCUAUAUAAGCUUCCAAAGGAGGGAAGCAACCAACAGUCCCACCCAGCAAUGACACCCAUGAACCACAACAACAACCAGCAUAGCAUAAUAACCCUAAGGGUACAAGAGUGGCAUGCAUACCUUGGCAGUAGCCAUCAGUUUUCUGCGACUUAAUACCAGUUCACCAAGAGGGAAAGCAUGCCUGCUACUGGAAAUAUGGCCUAGGGCUACUGAAAUAGUAUAUCUUGGAGAAGAGACAAACAUCACUUCACUGAACCUAUACCUGACUGCACUCUAAAUAAUUUGCCCUUAUACCCACAUAUCAGUAUUGUUCUCACCCCUCAUCAAGGAGACUUCUCUUCGCAAGACAGAGAACAUUAUAGAAACCCCAUUACUUUUUCUCGGAUCACAGUGAUUACUUUCUUCAUAAAAUAUGCCAUCAUUUUAAAUCACACGGGUUGUUUUCUUACUUGUGUCUUUCCCACUAGAAGGAAAUUUUGAAGUGGGUAUAAACUUCCUAUGUCUUACUCCCUGCUCCAUCCUCACAUUCCAAAAAUAUAUCCUGGUAUGUUCUAAGCCAAUGGGGAAAAAUGUUUUGAGGUACUAAAUAGUAUAAAACAUACCACCAGUUCAUGUUUCACCAGUUAUUUUCGAAAUAUACAAACCUAAUGUUGAAUACCAGUGUUCUACUGUUAAAUCUCUUGUCUCUUCCUAAUAUGACAAUCUACAUAAGAAUCGUUUUUCAAACUAAGACACUGUCUUUGGAAAUUGAAGAAGAAAAAGGGAAAGGGGGGGAAGAAAUGGGGUGGGGGACAAGCUGAAGCACACCAGAAAACUCUAGGCUGCUUUCUUUUUCAUUAUAAGUCAGACAAGGUUCAUGAGAGUAAGCAUCAGCACUCGGCACUUCAGGAGUUGAAAAUUAGACCAAAUGAAUUGGAGGACAACUGCGUCUCAUGUUAAUGUUUUCCUCUUCGAAUGAAGAAAAUGAGAUGAUGUGAGCCAUGACUCCAUUUGAAAAUGAAAUUUCGUAUUUCUAUUUGCUUCUACAUUAAAGCAGACUUUUUUUUUUCAUUUUAGACUCUUCGUUGUUGGUAAAUGUUUCAAUAUUUUACAUUUAUUAGGAUCAGGCCCAUUUACUAUUGUGCAAGUCAGACAAGCACAGAUAGAGAGUCCCUCUAAAGCAUCAUUUCUAAAUUACACAGUAAACAAAUGAGACUAAGCUAGAAACCUCACAACCCUUCCACUAAUGUGUUAAAAAACAAAACAAAACAAUAAAGCACUGGCCAAAGUGUCCUACUUUUAAGAGGUAAAUUUUCAAAUAGUCCACUGCAUUUUUACUGGUUCAAGGGAACAGCUUAUCCAGGAAUACCAGAACAUCCAGGUAGAUACCCUACCUGUCUCAUAACAUACAAAAAUGUUCAAAAAUAAGCCUAUAAUCAGAUUUUUUUGCCUAUCUUUUGCAAAUAGUAACACAUAAGAAACUUGAUUUUGCUCGGAAAUAUACGUUGAUUUCUGAUUAGCUGAUUAUAGAAGUCAGAAGAAAUGCCAAAAUGAAGAGAUGACUCACCAGGGGAUGACAGCGAGCAAGUGUCUUGAAAUUUAUAAUUGUCCUUGGAUCUACUUAAUUUAGCUUAAAGUCACGAGGCAUCAUUGAGACAAAUGGCUGCACAGAGCAGGUACCAGACAUGACGAGAGGCUGCCUGUGAUCAUUUUUUUUUUUUUUUUUGUUGCACUAUUUCCACCCGAGGACUUUUUCAGCCAACACUUUUCCUAUAAUGGCUAUUAAAUUUGAUAGGAUUUUUCCCACCAUUAGCUGUAAUGGCAUUUACAUGUUAAAUGCUCGCAACAAACGAAACCCACGAUUCCAUUGUUUCACAGGGUGAAAGCCAUGAUUACUGCUCUUCGAGGUGGAGAACACAUCUAAAAAGCAUCGUCUAAUUCCUUCCCCUUGCAUGGUACCUAUGUGAGCUCUGUGGGGAAAAGCCUGUUUGCUUUGCAGCUCUUCUAUUUUUGAAACAAGAUAGAUUCUUGCACAUGCAAGAAAACUGAAGAUUUCACCAUCAGCCAAGCAGAAGACACCUCAAAUGUUAUUUUUGUCUAGGGGACUGACUUGUUUACGAUUAGAUAAAAUUCUCCCUCAAGUACAUUUGACUGAGAAGUUGUCCUUUCACAGAGCUUCAAGCAAACAGUUCACUGGCCACUUAUGGCUAUGUGUUUGUUUGUCUGUUUGUUUUUUUAAUGAAAAAGAAUGGAACAACACUCUCCAGGAUUUGUGCCUGAAGCUCUCCUCCAUCACGGAAACAGCAGGGAUGGCAGACAUUUAGGAUUUCUCAGCCAAUUUUCUUCUCCAAGAAAACUCAGCAACUUACCCUAAACAUUUUAGAUCUUACUGUUCCAGAUUAUUAUUCUGGGUUACUAUUUGUCAGGAGAUAUUCAGGGUCAUUGGGAUCUAGUAAAAUAAGGUCUGAGAAGCUGUAUCAAUGGUUCUAUAAAACUAUUAAAAUACACAGCUGUGUGAUCCGUCUAGAACUUUUUGACUUCGUUUCCCGUUUCUCUGCCACCAAUAACUUUCCACGGCACUGUCACCCCCACCCAGAGUAGCAAACAAGCUGCGGGAUCUUCACAUUCUGUGGACCAAAUGUCUUCACAAGAACUCAGCUGUUCCAAGGAUGCUUCGGAAAGGACGGGGUUCCUGUGGUUACGAAACCAGUGUUCCAGCUUCGGAACUUUUCCUUUCCUUUGUGCUUUAACUGUUUGCUGUGGGCCUUCGGCGUGCUUAUUUUGUUUGGGUUUUUAUUUUGUGGUGCUGUAGAUCGAGCCUAAGCCCUCACACUUCCCGAGCAAACACUCUGUCAAUAAGCUAAAAGAUACACGCUCGGGCCCAGAAUUUUCGUCUUAGUUUGAUCUUUCGAGCUAAUGCACUGGUAUAUAUUUGAACCAUUUUUUGUUUCUCUUCUAUAUAUUGUUGAUACCUAAGUUAUCUGACCAAUAAGGGGUCCCAUAUAAGAACCUGGAUUGAUUUUAAAUUGUAUGUUAUGUGCUGUUUUUAAAAAGGACAUCCUCGUAAAUUGCUCGAGGCUCCAUUCCAAGUAGGUUUCGAACUGUGUUGGUUUGGAUGAUAAUGGUCCCCAUAGGUUCAUAUGUUUGAAUCUUGGUCCCCAGUUGGUGGAACUGUUUGGGAGGGAAUGGGUGACCGUGUCGGAGGAGACGUGCCUUGGGCACAAGCUCUGAAGCCUCAAAAGCCCCCUGCCAUUCCUAAUGCACCCUAUGCCUCCUGCUUGCCAUUUAAGAUAUGAGUUCUCAGCUGUUCAACUCAA